GUCUCAUGAGAACAUAAUUUUUGUUGAUGAUUUGUCCAAAGUUUCUAUCAAUCCAUCUUAGCAGCAGAGCCAAGUGUUAGAGUUAUUGCUGCCUGAGUUAUAACAGCUGCCCUGGGAAUCUUGUCUGAACAACAAGUUAACUGCUGUUCCCAGUUAUAUCUGGUCUUUCCCACCCCCAAACAUACACAAAAGAUUUUUGUCAUUCUUGGCACUGGACAACAGAAGUGAUAAGACAUGCCAGCAGAACUCUAAAGGCAGAAUGUCCUUCCACCUGUUUUAUGCUGUAAGACAAACUUCCAAGUGCGAGGCAGUGUGGAGGGCUGUUGCCUUGAAUGGCAGCUGAAUGCACCAGCGGGAUCCUUGGCAGCAAUGCCCAGGCACUGAAGUCGGGCAUUCAGGAGAGCUAAAUGGAGAAAAGAAACUUGAGCAAACUGCUUCCUGGAACACUGAGAACCUGAAUGGGAAAUUAAGAAGAACCAGAUUCUUUCUAUUCUUCCACCAGCCAAGGUGAUGAGCACAAAAGGAUCCAUCUUAUACAGUGCUUGCCAGCUUCCAUAAUACUACUCACCACGAUGUUGAAAUCACCUGUUCCAGAACCAGUCCUGUCCUUUGACAAGAAGGAUUUAAUUAUCAGUAGUGGUGGGGACUGGCUGGAGAGAGGAAAAACACUUCAAGGACUCUGCCACCUUUCGUAGAUGGAGAGUGCAAAGUUUGUACCAUGGAACUCCUUCUCUAACAGUUACUCUGUGGCAGUGCCUAUUUCAAACCUCCCUUAACUUCUGAUUGUAUAGAUGUUUGUUUCAUUUGUUCAUCUGUUUGUUCACUUAGUCAGAGAUGUUUUAAGCCUUAAGAGAAAUAGUGGACUAGAAAAUGCCUUGGAAAAGUACAAAGUUCAAUCCAAGUAAACUGUUUUUAAACUAGGAAUUUAUGAAGCCUAAAAUAUAAAAUGUAUAUACAUGGAUAUGCUCUGAAGUGAGGUAGAGGGGUAGAAAUCAACAUUGUGAUAUUGUACUAUAGUUUUGCAAGAUGUUACCAUUGGGGGAAAAUGUUUGAAGGGUAUACGGGAUAUCUCUGCCUUAUUUCUUACAACUGCAUGUGAAUCUACAGUUAUCUCAAA
rnacentral:lncRNA from 10 species